UUCACUCUGUGGGAAGCUGGGGCAGUGGUUUAGCCGCAAGUGGUGGCGCUGUCAACAUGAUAUACAGCCAUAGUACUGCUGAGCUCCUGGGCUACCCUGCCUGAAGUGUCUCAGCUUCCUGCCCUUUUGCCUUCAAGGUACCUUAAGAAUAAUGUGUUUGGCCAUCCUGUCUCAUGGCAAUGGAUUGCCCUUGCAAGGAACUCCUCCAUGGCACCAUUCUGUCCUCCCCUUCAUCCCACCUUGGAAGGGCUCUGUUAUCAAGGAGAUGUGAUGACACAUUUGCCUGUGUGGCUUCUUGCAGAUGGCACGGAAAUUUUGUGAUCAAAUGAUCGCUGUUGGGACAGAGAUAUUUGGUGAGCUUCUCCCCAUCUUCCAUCAUGUAACGUAACCAUGAGAAUGGAGACACUCUUGGUGUGAGCGUGUAUGGGAAACUGUGCUGGAAGCAACCAAUAGUCUGGGCUAGGCAGAAGGGAGGGGAAAUCCUUUGCUAUGAGGAGCUCGUACCCAGCUCAAAUCCCUCACAGGCUGCCACCGGCACAGCAGUCAGACCUCCUGCCAAUCCCCCUGCACUCUCAAGAGACUGAUUAAAAGAAGAGAUCAAUGUAUGGCUCUGCAGCAAUUUCACACUCAGAGAAAAUUCCUUUUGCCUCUUGAUAUAAUUAAAACAACUGACACUUUUCUAUGUUAAUAAGUUACUUUAUUCCUUG
ensembl:lncRNA